CCCCAUCUUGAAAAUACCUUCUAUAAAUUGAACAGUGAUCGAUGGAUUUUCCUUGCUAGAUCAGAUAAUAAAAUUUUUAUCCAAUAAAGAGAACCAAAAAAAAUGCUGCUAGGACACGUACCUACACCUACACUGAGCUUCAACCUGCAGAUGCAGCAACUUGGGGCAGCUAUUCUGUUGGGAAAUUUUCCUGGUUAGUGUUAUCUAGAGGAGAAUAUCACAUCAUUUUAUGUCUUGCAGGAAUGAAAAUGAUGAAGAAGGCACAAGGAGUGGACAUUUUGUCUAUUCUUUGGCUUUAAGAUUCAAUAACAGCGUGGGAACAAUCUGAACAAAAUAUCAGGUGAGCAUUUUAAUCUGGUUGUGAUUAGAGUCACUGAUUGUUAUCACUGUUGUAGUUUUUUAAUGUUCAUAUGUUUUACCAGCAUCAUGGAUCACAUGUUUAUAUUUUAUAAUUUCUAAAAGGACAAUAAAACACUUGUCUCACCAUCUAAAAAUUAUUUAGUGCAACCAUUAUACGGCCAAUGGUUUUAUUCUGACCAUGGUUCCCACCAUGAUCAAUAGUCAGAAUGCAUUCAUUGUCUCACUAGUUAUUUUCUUUUCUGGUCCAUAAAUCUAUGACCUGCCAAUAUCUGGGUCAGAUUCCUUCUGCUAUGCUUGUGGGUUCUUCACUCAUUAUUUGCAUGAUAUAGAUCCAUAUAAUAGGCCUCAAUAAAUUUUUGAGAUAAAAAUUUAGUUGAGUUGAGUUAUAUACAUGAUUUAUGGAGCCAUGUUACUUUAUUAGGUGCUUAAGAUUUGUUUGUCAUUUUUAGUGCUCUUAGGAAGGAAUUUGAUAUGGUUGGAGCUUUAAAUGCUGUUGGGUUUUCAACAUUUUGAAAAGGUAAAUGAAAAAGGAACCUAUUGAGCUUCUUGUUCGAGUUGGCACUUCUUAAACUCUGAUCCUUGACGAUUAUUUUCAUAGAUUUAGGACCUGAAAAAUAUAUUGGUCAGAUUUUCUUAGUUAUUCACUUAAAACAUUAUUAUAGUUAAGAUGAUUCUUAGACCCUUUAUUCCAAUGAGCUCUCCUUUUCUUAUUGGUGGCCUCCGGCAAUGUGGAGAACAAUAUUGUUGUGUGUUCAUUUUCAAUCCAGAUUCCGCCUUGUAAAGGGAAGGAAAUGAAAGAGGAUUUUACCGAUGGAUUCAAAGCAGGCUGGUCGUUGAAACAGAGUUCAAUUACAGUACUAGAUGAUCAGAAAGUUGCUGUUAGGCUACAUGAUAAAUAUCACAUAACACAAUUAUUCUUGCUGUGCUUUAUAGUAGUGAAUGUUGGGCUGUGAAGAAGCACCUUGUCCCUAAUCUGUAGAUGGGUAAAGAAGGACGUGUGGAAGUUUAAGAAAGAAUAAAAGGAAAUACUGUGUAGUUUUAGGAAGGUGGAGAUUUCACCCACUAAGGAUAAAGUUAAGGGAAUUUAAGAUAAUUUGAUCAUAAUGUGUCCAUGUGGAAAAUUGAGGAGGUUUAAGUUACCCAAGUAAAAGAAAAAAGAGUAGUACUAAUAAUAAUUAUUUUAGCCUAUAAAGAGAAGAAAAAGAUUCAUGUAGCUGCCUCAACUAGUUCUAGAACCAAGGUUUAGUUGGGACAAGUUAAAUUGUAUUUUAUUGGUAAAUGUAUUUUGCACUGAACGGUUCUCAUUUGCACGAUGAAUGUGGUGUGUGGAGCUAUUAGUGCUUAGCUAGAUCUGUUUGUUGCAGUUUAAUCUGUUGGUGGGGUGAUGGCUGGGUGGUACCGUGGCAAUAGUGGGGAAUUGAUGUUGAAAGCUGAAAGCAGCCACUUUGUAUUUAUCAUCUUCCAAUUAAUGAAACUUUUUCAACGGCUAUAAGGAUGUGGUUUCUGAGCAACUUUCAAGAAGUGACAUUGAUAGAGAUGAAUAAAAAGUGGGGUGGGGAAAAAUAUUGCUGAUUCAGAAGAUUUGAAUUGGACAUAUAACUUCCAUUAGCAGCUUCU